rnacentral:rRNA from 1 species
GAUGAACGCUGGCGGCGUGCCUAAUACAUGCAAGUCGAGCGAACGGAUGGGAAGCUUGCUUCUCUGAUGUUAGCGGCGGACGGGUGAGUAACACGUGGAUAACCUACCUAUAAGACUGGGAUAACUUCGGGAAACCGGAGCUAAUACCGGAUAAUAUUUUGAACCGCAUGGUUCAAAAGUGAAAGACGGUCUUGCUGUCACUUAUAGAUGGAUCCGCGCUGCAUUAGCUAGUUGGUAAGGUAACGGCUUACCAAGGCAACGAUGCAUAGCCGACCUGAGAGGGUGAUCGGCCACACUGGAACUGAGACACGGUCCAGACUCCUACGGGAGGCAGCAGUAGGGAAUCUUCCGCAAUGGGCGAAAGCCUGACGGAGCAACGCCGCGUGAGUGAUGAAGGUCUUCGGAUCGUAAAACUCUGUUAUUAGGGAAGAACAUAUGUGUAAGUAACUGUGCACAUCUUGACGGUACCUAAUCAGAAAGCCACGGCUAACUACGUG